CCCCAGGGAAGGUCCAGCCUGCCUCCUGGACCCAGAGCCGGCGGGCACAGGCUCAGGGAGGGUGAGGGCAGGACACAAUGCCCAUUCCCAACAGCAUCCUGAAGAGACAUGAUUCCGACAGUCUGGCACUCUUACUUACCCACACUGUUGGCUCUGAAGACCUUCUCAUUAAUGUACCAGAAAAAGAGAAAUUCGCCUUUCCCUUGAUUGAAUUUGACAUCAACCCCGUGGUAGUCUGGGUGCUUCCAAUGAGAAGGCAAUGGGGCCGCUGGGUCAUCUGCCCCCCAGCUCUGAGCACCCGGAGGGUAAAGAUGCAACCUAUGUCUCUUUGGUACCAAGAAGAAACGAUGAUUGCUAUUCACAAUAAGAACUGA
rnacentral:lncRNA from 1 species